CUUGAGGUGGCUUCCGGCCGCCAGGCGAGACUCCGCGGGAAAACUCCCUGCUAGAGAGACUAGGAGAUUUGGGGCUGCGGCCGUUUCCUCCGGAGCACCCACGGGACUGUGUGCUGGGGUCCCUCCACCGGCUGUGUCCUUUAUUCUUCUUUCUCACCCAACGAUUUACCUGAACGGUUAUAAAGUGCACGUUAUUUCCCUAAGGUCCUUCUUACUGAUGUGUUGCUCUUCUUCAUGGCUCGUGAAAACUAUUAGAGUCAUCCAAGGGUGGGAAGAGAGAUCAGCAACGUUAACUGGGUGUCAAGAAAACAUACCGAGAUUGAAGCCAUCCACUUCUGCAGGAACACCGAAAAGAAAGGACUGUGAAGACAACCAGAGUGGGAAGGAACCUCAGAAACCUUUGGACCAACAGAGGAAAAAGCCCAGAGGUGCAGGACAUAGAUCAAAACCAGUCGCAUGCGAGUCAUUCUAGGAUCCGGCCAAAGUUAAUUAACAGAGGGCCAUUCAGUCUCCACCGAGUCAAACAAUAAUUAGGAUGAAACAAUCCUAUUAACCCAUGGAUUUAAUGUCUACAAAGCAGAAAGUAGAAUAACUUGGACUUAAAGGCUGAAUGACCCAUUUCUUCAGCCUCCUCUCAAAGGCAAUAUUUCUCAGCCCUUCAGUCAUUUUCAUUGCUCUCUUCUGGCCUCUCUCCAAGAUUCUGUAUCUUGUUUAAAUAGUGAAGUCCAACACCGAACAUGAUUUAAGAACAGUCAUGCCUGGAAAAGUAACAAAGGCCCAACGAAUACGGACUCCAGAAAGUAAACAUUUUCUCAAAAACAAAAGUAUUGUAAUAUUAAUAAUGGUAGUAAGAAUUAGGUUGACCAAAUAAAAUCAUUUUUGUUGCCC
rnacentral:lncRNA from 1 species